rnacentral:lncRNA from 10 species
UUCCAGAGUGGGGACACCUUUCUUCUCCUACAUCUUGUACAACAGAACUCCAAGUUCUCUGGCCUUUGGACUCUGGAAUUUGCACCAGCUCUUCCCCAAGGUUCUCCUGCCUUUGGCCUCAGCCUGCGAGUUACAUCAUUAGCUUCACUGAUUCUGAUACUUUAAGAGUUGGACUGAGCAACGUUACAAGUUUCACUGUUUAGGAGAGAAAUGUGAUUGGAGGAGGACAUAUGGAAGGCUUGAAAUGAACAGAUAGUUUCUCUCUUUAAGCUGGGCACGUGAGAUGGGGACGUACAAUAUUCCCUAGGCUGGCUUCAAGCCCCUGGGCUCAAGCCUUUCAAGCCUCCCAAGUAGCUGGGACUACAGAUGAGUGCCACUCUGCCAAGCUAAGGAAUAUUUUCUUAAUACCACCUUGUAUAAUUUAAUUCCACAGUUAUGCAAACAUAUACUAAACUUGCUUCCCCAAAAAUCAGUAAAAUGAAGAGAACCUAAGAUUAAUUACAGGAGCAGUGACCAUUAGUCUUAAAGAAGUUAGAUAGCACAUGACAAUGGUCAGGUGUGCCAAAUGCAGAAAUGCAGGUAUGGAGAUUUCUGGGAGUCUAACUGAUUACAUUAGGAUUACAUUAGCAUUUAUCUUACUAGAUAGCGGCAGUAGUCUUUAGGGACAUCCAUGUAUUUUCAGAUAAAGCAUAUAACAUACAGAACAGAGGUCAAAGCUUACUCAGUUGCAAAGCCAUCAAGGGUGGAAAACAAGGACAAAGUGAGUUCAUGAAAUAGGCCUGAUUGGAUUGGGCCAAGGAUAGAUAUCCUUUUCUUUUCUUACCCUCUAGCUUCUGUUACUCGGCAGGAUCUUAAUACACUGGUUUCUUCCAGUUGGCUCAAUGCAGCAAGUGAACUCACAGUGUAAGGGGUUAAUAGUGAGUGUGAAUAAGGAAACACUGAGGCAGAAAUGAACUCAUUGCAUAUCUGAUCAUAUGCAAGUACCAAUGCAGAGAUGAUCAAAGUUGUCAUAACACUAAAAAUAUUUCCUAGGGACUGGACUAUGUAUUAAAUAAAUCCCUUCUCAAUCAUGUCUCCUCCCUUUUAAUGAUGAAAUCUACCUUUGCUUUCCAAAUAACUUGUAUUGCUCCAUUCUCUCAUUGAUUUGAAGAAACUGCAGAAAUGUGCAGUGGAGAAAGUAUACUAAUAAAAAAUAGCUGCACAGUGAAACUGCAAAUAUCUGAAAAGGAUUGGGAAUAUCUUGAAAUUUAUUCAGAUGACGUCAGAGACAAAUUAUACCUCACCUAGAUGUUUUGACUCAUGAAGAUCUGG